GCCCCCGUAGCUCAACGGAUAGAGCAUCUACUUGGUUCGUAGGGACGGUUGGAGGUUCGAAUCCUCCCGGGGGCA
rnacentral:tRNA from 1 species